AGGAGUGAGGGCAGAACUGGGCUGACAAAUGCCAGAGGGGCUGCUGUAAGAUGCCAUAGACAGGUCAUUAUUUAUUGGGUUUCUGUGUAUUUGAAACACCAGGGCCUUUUUUAUCCCCAGUCUGGGCACUUGGCUGUGCUGAUUAUAUAAAAUUAGAUAUAAUAUAACAUGAACAAGUAUAAUUUUGCCUCUGUUUCAUUUUUUCCAGGAGUAACAACUUCCAUUCUUUUGUGAGUGAGUGCCUGCAGAAGAGUGCGGAGAGACGGCCAACUGCGAGGCAGCUUCUUGCGCACCCCUUCAUCUCAGAGCUCUGGGAUGAAAGGGGUGUAAAGAGGAGCCUCAUGAGACAUCUGCAGUGAGGUAGGGGAACCCCUCAUUCUCAUUAUAGUUCCCUUGAUGUAUAGACUAUAACCAACUACUGCUAUUAUUUAUAUAAUAUUCUCUGGCUUUCCCACAUACACAAUCAUUCUGUAACUAAAACCGCCAGUAAUAAAGGCUUGGAUUGUAUUAGGGCAGAGGUAACUAAACUAAGCCAAAUCUAGGGAACAGUCAAACAAGCUGUGAUGGGAGAACAUGGUAUUAUUAAAUAGUUGUAGUUGGCCUUUAAAUUAGCAUGUAAUAGACCAUGAAAUGGCAAAAAUUGUAAAUGCGAAUAAUAAAAAUGAACAAAUUGCAGAAUUAUUACAAACAGCUACUCCAUGGCUAACACUGAGCUAUCUUUCCUUAGGCCUGACUCCACGAAGCCAUGAAACAACUUGGCUGCCAACGGGGGAGGGACGGGGGCACAUACAGGGGUCCUAAAUACCGUCUUUGGACUCCUGCAUAACAUCUUGGUCCCGUUGGCAGCCCUUUGUGUUGGCUUCUUCAUGAACAACUACAUCUUCUGACAAAUGCAUCUGAGAAACAGCGGCUCUAGAAGAUCGACGUAAGUAUGGCAUUUAUUGUCAUGUUUUAUUCUUUGUUUACAUUUCAAAGAAGAAUGUAUUGAUGGCAUAAAUGCUUUGUUUAUUGUAUAUUAAUUUUUCCGUAGGCCUGACUCCACGAAGCCAUGAAACAACUUGGCUGCCAACGGGGGAGGGACGGGGGCACAUACAGGGGUCCUAAAUACCAUCUUUGGACCCCUGCAUAACAUCUUGGUCCCGUUGGCAGCCCUUUGUGUUGGCUUCUUUAUGAACAACUGCAUCUUCUGACAAAUGCAUCUGAGAAACAACGGCUUUAGAAGAUCGACGCCUGAAUCCACGAAUCCAUAAAACAACUUGGCUGCCAACGGGGGAGGGACGGGGGCACAAACAGGGGUCCUAAAUACCAUCUUUGGACCCCUGCAUAACAUCUUGGUCCCGUUGGCAGCCCUUUGUGUUGGCUUCUUUAUGAACAACAGCAUCUUCUGACAAAUGCAUCUGAGAAACAGCGGCUCUAGAAGAUCGACGUAAGUAUGGCAUUUAUUGUCAUGUUUUAUUCUUUGUUUACAUUUUCAAAGAAGAAUGUAUUUAUGGCAUAAAUGCUUUGCUUAUUGUAUAUUAAUCUUUCCUUAGGCCUGAAUCCACGAAUCCAUAAAACAACUUGGCUGCCAACGGGGGAGGGACGGGGGCACAAACAGGGGUCCUAAAUACCAUCUUUGGACCCCUGCAUAACAUCUUGGUCCCGUUGGCAGCCCUUUGUGUUGGCUUCUUGAUGAACAACAGCAUCUUCUAACAAAUGCAUCUGAGAAGAAGAAUAUAUAUAUAUUUUUUUUUAACAAUUUUUUUUAUUGAGUUUAAAUGUACAUAGUUUGCUUUAUAUUGUUUCAUUGUCAAUUGCUUGUUGUACAGAAAGAAAGUAAAUAAAGUAUAUUAACAACAUAACCAUAA